ACUCCUACGGGAGGCAGCAGUGGGGAAGUCUUGGACAAUGGGCGCAAGCCUGAUCCAGCCAUGCCGCGUGAGUGAUGAAGGCCCUAGGGUCGUAAAAGCUCUUUCGCCAGGGAUGAUAAUGACAGUACCUGGUAAAGAAACCCCGGCUAACUCCGUGCCAGCAGCCGCGGUAAUACGGAGGGGGUUAGGCGUUGUUCGGAAUUACUGGGGCGUAAAGCGCGCGUAGGCGGACUGGAAAGUUGGGGGUGAAAUCCCGGGGGCUCAACCUCGGAACUGCCUCCAAAACUCCCAGUCUUGAGUUCGAGAGAGGUGAGUGGAAUUCCGAGUGUAGAGGUGAAAUUCGUAGAUAUUCGGAGGAACACCAGUGGCGAAGGCGGCUCACUGGCUCGAUACUGACGCUGAGGUGCGAAAGUGUGGGGAGCAAACAGGAUUAGAUACCCUGGUAGCGACUGA
rnacentral:rRNA from 1 species